GACGAACGCUGGCGGCGUGCUUAACACAUGCAAGUCGAACGGAAAGGCCCUGCUUGCAGGGUGCUCGAGUGGCGAACGGGUGAGUAACACGUGGGUGAUCUGCCCCUUACUUUGGGAUAAGCCUGGGAAACUGGGUCUAAUACUGGAUAGGACCAUGCUGUAGGUGGUGUGGUGGAAAGAUUAGUUUCGGUAAGGGAUGAGCUCGCGGCCUAUCAGCUUGUUGGUGGGGUAAUGGCCUACCAAGGCGUCGACGGGUAGCCGGCCUGAGAGGGUGGACGGCCACAUUGGGACUGAGAUACGGCCCAGACUCCUACGGGAGGCAGCAGUGGGGAAUAUUGCACAAUGGGCGCAAGCCUGAUGCAGCGACGCCGCGUGGGGGAUGACGGCCUUCGGGUUGUAAACUCCUUUCAGCCAUGACGAAGCCCUUGUGGUGACGGUAGUGGUAGAAGAAACACCGGCUAACUACGUG
rnacentral:rRNA from 1 species